CAGGACGAACGCUGGCGGCGUGCCUAACACAUGCAAGUCGAACGGAGUAUAAAGGAAGCUUGCGAAUUUAUACUUAGUGGCGGACGGGUGAGUAACGCGUGGAUAACCUGCCUGAUAGCCUGGGAUAACAGCUGGAAACGGCUGCUAAUACCGGAUACGCUUGGGGAGUCGCAUGGCUCUGCAAGGAAAGCUUUCGUGCUAUCAGAUGGAUCCGCGUCCCAUUAGCUAGUUGGUGGUGUAGAGGACCACCAAGGCGACGAUGGGUAGCCGGCCUGAGAGGGCGAACGGCCACACUGGGACUGAGACACGGCCCAGACUCCUACGGGAGGCAGCAGUGGGGAAUCUUCCGCAAUGGGCGAAAGCCUGACGGAGCAACGCCGCGUGAGGGAAGAAGGCCUUCGGGUUGUAAACCUCUGUCUUCAGGGAAGAAGAAAUGAUGGUACCUGAAGAGUAAGCUCCGGCUAACUACGUGCCAGCCGCCGC
rnacentral:rRNA from 1 species